CUUGGGGGGUGGGGGGCCUCAGCCCAGAUUGCGAGAGGGCACAGGCCAGGCCGAGGGACCCCAAUGGUGCACA
rnacentral:pre_miRNA from 1 species